GUCCAAUGGCGAAGUCCUACAGUGCAAAGACAGCCUACCACGGUCCACGGUGGUCUGAGAUCAGAAUAAUCAUCCCGUUGCCCACUAAUCCCCUCGGAGCUUGGACUCUCAGACUAAACAAAUCCGAAGCACAAAGCAGGGGCCUCUUCGCAAAUCCCACCACCACCAUCACCGCCUCCCAGAUCCGCCUGGCCGUCCUCCUCGUCCGCCACUGCGGCGGUGAUCCCUCGCCGCCCCGCCCUUGAUACCGUCGAGAGGAUCGUCGAGGACUUCGCCAUGGACCUCGCCAUCAAUCCCUUCUCCUCCGGUACCCGCCUCCGGGACAUGAUACGUGCGAUACGCGCGUGCAAGACGGCAGCAGAGGAGCGCGCCGUGGUGCGGCGGGAGUGCGCGGCGAUACGGGCCGCUAUCAGCGAGGGCGACCAGGACUACCGGCAUCGGAACAUGGCCAAGCUCAUGUUCAUCCACAUGCUCGGCUACCCCACACACUUCGGCCAGAUGGAGUGCCUCAAACUUAUUGCUGCCGCAGGCUUCCCCGAGAAGCGCAUCGGCUAUCUAGGACUCAUGCUGCUGCUCGACGAGCGGCAGGAGGUCCUCAUGCUCGUCACCAACUCUCUCAAGCAAGAUCUUAACCACUCAAACCAGUUCAUUGUUGGUCUUGCACUCUGUGCCCUUGGCAAUAUAUGUUCUGCUGAAAUGGCGCGUGAUCUUGCUCCUGAAGUGGAGCGGCUGUUACAAAAUAGGGACCCUAAUACAAAGAAGAAGGCCGCUUUAUGCUCUGUGAGGAUUGUACGAAAAGUUCCAGACUUGGCAGAAAUUUUCAUGAGUGCCGCCACAUCAUUACUGAAGGAAAAACAUCACGGUGUUCUGAUAUCUGCUGUUCAGCUUUGCAUGGAGCUAUGUAAUGCCAGCAAUGAAGCAUUGGAGUACUUGAGGAAGAAUUGCCUUGAAGGACUGGUCCGAAUACUGAGAGAUGUAUCCAACAGUUCAUAUGCUCCUGAAUACGACAUUGGUGGCAUCACAGAUCCAUUCUUACAUAUCCGAGUGCUUAAACUCAUGCGGAUACUGGGCCAAGGAGAUGCAGAUUGCAGCGAGUAUAUCAAUGACAUUCUUGCUCAGGUUUCAACGAAAACCGAGUCAAAUAAGAAUGCUGGAAAUGCUAUUUUAUAUGAAUGUGUGGAGACAAUAAUGAGCAUUGAAGCUACAAGUGGUUUACGUGUGUUGGCAAUUAAUAUUUUGGGUCGGUUUUUGUCCAACCGCGAUAACAACAUAAGAUAUGUUGCCCUAAACAUGCUUAUGAAGGCCAUUGCUGUAGACACACAAGCGGUGCAGAGGCACAGGGCAACAAUAUUAGAGUGUGUCAAGGAUGCAGAUGUUUCUAUUCGUAAAAGGGCCCUGGAACUUGUUUACCUACUUGUCAACGAUACAAAUGUAAAGCCAUUGACUAAGGAACUUGUUGAUUACCUUGAAGUGAGUGAUCAAGAUUUCAAGGAAGACCUCACUGCUAAGAUAUGCUCAAUAGUUGAAAAGUUUUCCCUGGACAGGCUAUGGUACUUAGACCAGAUGUUCAGAGUUUUAUCUCUGGCUGGUAAUCAUGUGAAGGAUGAUGUAUGGCAUGCUCUUAUAGUUCUAGUGAGUAAUGCAUCUGAACUUCAAGGAUAUUCAGUCAGGUCAUUAUAUAAAGCAUUGCAAGCAUCUAGUGAACAGGAAAGUUUAGUUAGGGUGGCUGUUUGGUGCAUCGGUGAAUAUGGAGAAAUGCUGGUCAACAAUCUUAGUAUGUUGGACAUGGAGGAACCAAUUACGGUAACAGAAUAUGAUGCUGUGGAUGCCGUAGAGGCUGCUCUUCAGCGCUACUCUGCAGAUGUUACUACUAGGGCUAUGUGUCUUGUCUCUCUUUUGAAGCUUUCCUCCCGGUUUCCACCAACAUCAGAGAGGAUAAAAGAAAUAGUUGCGCAAAAUAAAGGGAAUACUGUGCUUGAAUUGCAGCAAAGAUCUAUUGAAUUCAGUUCCAUUAUACAAAGACAUCAAUCGAUGAAAUCAUCUUUGCUUGAACGGAUGCCUGUAUUGGAUGAAGCUAAUUAUUUGGUGAAGAGAGCUGCUUCUAUACAGGCUGCAGUUCCAUCUGUAAAUUCUGCUCCAGCAGUCACUUCUGGAGGCCCAUUUAAGCUUCCUAAUGGUGUUGGAAAGCCUGCAGCUCCUUUAGCUGAUUUGCUUGAUUUGAGUUCUGAUGAUGCUCCAGUGACUACCUCGGCCCCUACAACAGCACCUAAUGAUUUUCUACAGGAUCUGUUGGGCAUUGGCUUGACUGAUUCGUCUCCUAUAGGCGGAGCUCCGUCUACAAGCACUGACAUUCUGAUGGAUCUUCUAUCUAUUGGUUCAUCUUCUGUACAAAAUGGACCACCAACGGCAAACUUUAGCCUUCCUGGCAUAGAGACUAAAUCUGUCGCUGUUACACCUCAAGUUGUGGAUCUUCUUGAUGGUUUGUCCUCAGGCACAUCUCUUCCUGUUUGCCUAUUCGCCAGAUGAGAACGCAACCUACCCCACAAUCACAGCAUUCCAGAGUGCAACUUUGAGGAUCACAUUCAGUUUCAAAAAACAACCUGGAAAACCUCAGGAGACUACAAUUAGUGCUUCUUUCACAAAUUUAGCAACCACUACAUUCACAGAUUUCGUCUUCCAGGCAGCUGUGCCAAAGUUCAUCCAGUUGCGUUUGGACCCAGCGAGCAGCAGCACUCUUCCUGCCAGUGGAAAUGGGUCAGUUACACAAAGCCUCAGUGUCACCAACAACCAGCAUGGCCAGAAACCACUUGCAAUGCGUAUCCGGAUGUCUUACAAAGUGAAUGGUGAGGACAGGCUGGAACAAGGGCAAAUCAGCAACUUUCCUGCUGGGUUGUAGGGCCACCUGUGUCUAUAGGGUUUGGGUUGCUCUUUCAGACUUAUGCUUGCCUGCUAGUGAGUUGUGUACACUGGUAGUUGGUUUUUGGCCGUCCAUUAUCUCUUUAUAUAUAUAGUGUACAGUAGAUGACAGCGAUUAAUGAUAUAUCCUCAGUUUUGCCGAAAUGUAUUUUUAUCUUGGUGCAUAUCGGACUUCAGGGUAACCAAAAUUUUCACCCU